rnacentral:rRNA from 1 species
GAUGAACGCUGGCGGCGUGCCUAACACAUGCAAGUCGAGCGAAGCACUUUGCUUGGAUUCUUCGGAUGAAGAGGAUUGUGACUGAGCGGGCGUACGGGUGAAGGUACGCGUGGUAACCUGCCUCAUACAGGGGGAUAACAGUUAGAAAUGACUGCUAAUACCGCAUAAGACCACAGCACCGCAUGGUGCAGGGGUAAAAACUCCGGUGGUAUGAGAUGGACCCGCGUCUGAUUAGCUAGUUGGUAAGGUAACGGCUUACCAAGGCGACGAUCAGUAGCCGACCUGAGAGGGUGACCGGCCACAUUGGGACUGAGACACGGCCCAA